GACGAACGCUGGCGGCGUGCCUAAUACAUGCAAGUAGAACGCUGAAGGAGGAGCUUGCUUCUCUGGAUGAGUUGCGAACGGGUGAGUAACGCGUAGGUAACCUGCCUGGUAGCGGGGGAUAACUAUUGGAAACGAUAGCUAAUACCGCAUAAUAGUAGAUGUUGCAUGACAUUUGCUUAAAAGGUGCAAUUGCAUCACUACCAGAUGGACCUGCGUUGUAUUAGCUAGUUGGUGGGGUAACGGCUCACCAAGGCGACGAUACAUAGCCGACCUGAGAGGGUGAUCGGCCACACUGGGACUGAGACACGGCCCAGACUCCUACGGGAGGCAGCAGUAGGGAAUCUUCGGCAAUGGACGGAAGUCUGACCGAGCAACGCCGCGUGAGUGAAGAAGGUUUUCGGAUCGUAAAGCUCUGUUGUAAGAGAAGAACGAGCGUGAGAGUGGAAAGUUCACACUGUGACGGUAUCUUACCAGAAAGGGACGGCUAACUACGUG
rnacentral:rRNA from 1 species